rnacentral:rRNA from 1 species
GCCAGUGGCGACAGCACGUUGAAUGCACCAAUUUCAAAUGUAUCACUGAAGUUAAACAAAGUUGAGUGUGGUUAGUAUCCGAAUGGAUGAUCAAUGAUCAUCUGGGCAAUCUUGUGCUGCUGGCU